CGGUUAUAGUAGGGUACUAGCUUGUUCCGGAUUAUUGGGCGUAAAGAGUCGUAGGGGUUUGUCAUCUGGUGUGGAAACGACGCUUAAACUGGCGUGCAGUGGGUACGGGCUGACUAGAGUGCAGUAGGGGAGUCGGGAAUUCCUGGUGUAGCGGUGAAAUGCGCAGAUAUCAGGGAGGAACACCCGGUGGGAAGGCGGGGACUCUGGGCUGUAACUGACACUGAGGAGCGAAAGCAGGGGAGCGAACAGGAUUAGAUACCCUGGUAGUCCAUGCCGUAAACGUUGGGCACUAGGUGUGGGGGACAUUCCACGUUCUCCGCGCCGUAGCUAACGCAUUAAGUGCCCCGCCUGGGGAGUACGGUCGCAAGGCUAAAACUCAAAGGAAUUGACGGGGGCCCGCACAAGCGGCGGAGCAUGCGGAUUAAUUCGAUGCAACGCGAAGAACCUUACCAAGGCUUGACAUACACUGGACCGUUCUGGAAACAGUUCUUCUCUUUGGAGCUGGUGUACAGGUGGUGCAUGGUUGUCGUCAGCUCGGUCGUGAGAUGUUGGGUUAAGUCCCGCAACGAGCGCAACCCUCGUUCUAUGUUGCCAGCACGUGAUGGUGGGAACUCAUAGGAGACUGCCGGGGUCAACUCGGAGGAAGGUGGGGAUGACGUCAAAUCAUCAUGCCCUUUAUGUCUUGGGCUUCACGCAUGCUACAAUGGCUGGUACAGAGAGAGGCGAACCCGUGAGGGUAAGCGAAUCCCUUAAAGCCAGUUCAGUUCGGAUCGUAGUCUGCAAUUCGACUACGUGAAGUCGGAGUCGCUAGUAAUCGCAGAUCAGCACGCUGCGAAUACGUUCCCGGGCCUUGUACACACCGCCCG
rnacentral:rRNA from 1 species